GACUGCUCCAGUGGCCUAGUGGUUAGAGCAUCUGCCAUGGAUGUGGGAGGUCGUGGGUUCAAACCCCACCCGAGUCA